AGGAGGCAGCAGUGGGGAAUCUUGCACAAUGGGCGAAAGCCUGAUGCAGCCAUGCCGCGUGUGUGAAGAAGGCCUUCGGGUUGUAAAGCACUUUAAGCGGGGAGAAAAGGGUAGUCGCUAAUAACGGCUAUCUAUGAUGUUACCCGCAGAAUAAGCACCGGCAAACUUCGUGCCAGCAGCCGCGGUAAUACGAAGGGUGCAAGCGUUAAUCGGAAUUACUGGGCGUAAAGAGCACGUAGGCGGUUUGAUAAGCGGAAUGUGAAAUCCCCGGGCUUAACCUGGGAACUGCAUCCCGAACUGUCAGGCUAGAGUAUGAUAGAGGUGAGCGGAAUUUCCUGUGUAGCGGUGAAAUGCGUAGAUAUAGGAAGGAACAUCAGUUGCGAAGGCGGCUCACUGGAUCAAUACUGACGCUGAGGUGCGAAAGCGUGGGUAGCGAACAGGAUUAGAUACCCCGGU
rnacentral:rRNA from 1 species